rnacentral:rRNA from 1 species
AACGAACGCUGGCGGCAGGCUUAACACAUGCAAGUCGAACGGGUGUAGCAAUACAUCAGUGGCAGACGGGUGAGUAACACGUGGGAACCUUCCUAGGGGUACGGAACAACUCAGGGAAACUUGAGCUAAUACCGUAUACGUCCGUGAGGAGAAAGAUUUAUCGCCCUUAGACGGGCCCGCGUCGGAUUAGGUAGUUGGUGGGGUAACGGCCUACCAAGCCUACGAUCCGUAGCUGAUCUUAGAGGAUGAUCAGCCACACUGGGACUGAGACACGGCCCAGACUCCUACGGGAGGCAGCAGUGGGGAAUCUUGGACAAUGGGCGCAAGCCUGAUCCAGCCAUGCCGCGUGAGUGAAGAAGGCCUUAGGGUUGUAAAGCUCUUUUACCAGGGACGAUAAUGACGGUACCCGGAGAAUAAGCCCCGGCAAACUUCGUGCCAGCCGCCGCGGUAACAC